rnacentral:lncRNA from 1 species
CUGCCAUGUGCCAUCCUAACAUUCUGCCCAAGUGUGAAGGGCCAUCAGCCAUGGGCUGGAACCCUCUGAAACCAGGAGCCUUCGGCUGUCUUUGCAGGAGUUAGUCACAGAGAGCUCUGCAAGAGAUUCACUCCAUGUGUGUGCGAAUGAAGAUCAAGAAGAGAGUAAAACAUUCCUUUGCUCUAGUGGGCACCUCACAUUGGAGUUUCUUGUUGAGGUCUAUAAGACCCUUCCAGUAGUACCAAACACAAUGGAGACCUUCCAGAAGUACCAAACCCAACAGAGACCUCCUAGGAGUACCAAACCCAAUGAAGACCAGCUCUCAAUGCUCUCUACACCUAGGAGUUAUCCCGGCCUCCUCCUCUAAGUUGUUUUCCAUGUUGCGUAC